GGGCCCGCACAAGCGGUGGAGCAUGUGGUUUAAUUCGACGAUACGCGAAAAACCUUACCAGCUCUUGACAUGGGGAUUUUGGACCUUGGAGACAAGGUUCUUCGGUUCGGCCGGGUCCCACACAGGUGCUGCAUGGCUGUCGUCAGCUCGUGUCGUGAGAUGUUGGGUUAAGUCCCGCAACGAGCGCAACCCUUGUCCCUAGUUGCUAACAGGUUAUGCUGAGAACUUUAGGGAGACUGCCGGUGACAAACUGGAGGAAGGAAAGGAUGAUGUCAAGUCAUCAUGGCCCUUAUGGGCUGGGCUACACACGUGCUACAAUGGUGGUUACAAAAAGACGCAAUAGGGCGACCUGGAGCAAAUCUAUAAAAGCCAUCUCAGUUCGGAUUGUUCUCUGCAACUCGAGAGCAUGAAGUUGGAAUCGCUAGUAA
rnacentral:rRNA from 1 species